UCAUGCUCCCGGGCAGCCCCAAGCAAUGGCCACCAUAGUAGCUAAGGAGACUGGAUCCCAGCAAGAACCUGGAGCCAUGGGGAGAAGAUGGAAGGGAAAAUCUGUCUUCAUGCUCCGGGGAGAGGCACAGGGGAAAGGGAGCAGAGAACUUCCAUGGCCUGGAGCCAGAGAAAACUUAGGAGUGUCCAGGAAGUGGCUGUGGCAUACUGACACCAGGAGAGGACAUCCUGAUGCCCAGGAGGACUGGGGCACAUGAGACAGCAGAGCCUAGGGACUCUGCCGGGUAUUGGCUGCCACUGGGGAGACAUCUUCCAGGGAAGAGUGACCAAAGGCUUUCAGAACAGAUGGUUUCAUAUUGAAUGUGAAGCUGUUUGCCAGAUUCACAGCAAAUCCCCAACCAUCAUCCACUGAUCCUGACUGAAGCCUGCUGCACGGGUAACAGAUAUCAGUGAAGUGUCUGCUCUAUGCCAGACAGUGCCGGGCACUCAGGACCCUCGACAGUCUGAUGGGGGAGAAUGAGGACGUAAGCUCCGUGACCGCAGGAACUUGUCUGAAUUCUUCCCCAGUGACCCCUAGAGCCCAGCAAAUUGUAA